UACGAAGGGGGCUAGCGUUGCUCGGAAUUACUGGGCGUAAAGGGUGCGUAGGCGGGUCUUUAAGUCAGAGGUGAAAUCCUGGAGCUCAACUCCAGAACUGCCUUUGAUACUGAGGAUCUUGAGUUCGGGAGAGGUGAGUGGAACUGCGAGUGUAGAGGUGAAAUUCGUAGAUAUUCGCAAGAACACCGGUGGCGAAGGCGGCUCUCUGGACCUGUCCUGACGCUGAGGCACGAAAGCGUGGGGAGCAAACAGG
rnacentral:rRNA from 1 species